AUUCCCACACACACACACACAGCGCAAGAAACCCUUUCGAGUUCGAAUCAAGGAGAAGAUGGAAGCUGGUACGAGGCUCCUUUCUCCAUCACCUCCGCCCAAGCAAGCAAGAACAUACAUUAGGAAUCCUUCCUUCGGUUCAGGUUCGCAGCAAUUCCUUCUUCUUUUUGUUACUCUGUACUCAUGUCUUGGAUUCAAAUCCUGUUUCUUGUGUCCUUGUGCAAUUUGUUCUCUACGCAUGCUUAUUUACUUAAUCUACAGGCAUUAUCACAUGGUGAUCGUAUUUUGAGUUGCUUCUGAGAGUGUGAAAUCUACAGGCCGCUGUUUGCUUUAGGCAAAUUUGGAGAACAUUAUCAUCUUUCCAGACUCAUUGUCUAAUUGUGAUGCAGUUGCGAGGCUACAUGAUCAAGCUGUUCGGACAAUUAGAUCUGUGCCUGCUGCAUCGGUUGUGCGUCCUGUUUCGGCAUCAACUCUUUCAAAGGACCAACAGGAUGAUCGUAGAGCUAGUUUUAACAAGGAUGAAAAUAGAGCAACAGUGAGCAUCUUUUGCCCCUUUUGGAUCUCUAUGCAUUUUUUGCUUCUGCCUUUUCUGAGAAUAUGUUGUAUGCUUUUUCUAUAACAACUUUGCUAUCUGUCAUAGUUCGCAAUCUUUAGAAGACUACUGUCAAUUAGAAUUUUGGCAGAUCUUUUUUGAUAAGCAUAAGCUAUGCUUUAUAAAUAAACUGUGAAUAGCAUGCAUUUGUAUAUUAAUGCUAUUCAUUUGUAUAUAUGAAGGCAACACUGUUUAAACAGCUAACGGAUGUUGGAAGUUCAGAUAACAAAGAGAAGGAAGAGUAUGAUUUUGACCGACAUNNNNN
rnacentral:lncRNA from 1 species